GGACCUGAGUCUGAUCCCUGGUACAAAAAAAACAGAGUAGAUUAGCAUGGCCCCUGGGCAAGGAUGGCAUGCAAAUUCAUAAAGCAUUCCAUAUUUUU
rnacentral:snRNA from 1 species